rnacentral:rRNA from 1 species
GUUGUUUAGUUGAAAAUCAAUUAAAUAAUUUUUGAUUUUAAGUAGUAUUGACUUCAUCAGCUUGCUGCUUUCUUUUCGGAAAUUAUUUAAUGCACUUUUCAGUUAACAAGUCAACAUCAAUUUCUUUUGUUGUAAAAGGGUAAGAGGAAGGUGGCUUACAUUUCGGUGUAAGUGUUUAUAGCCUUUUACCUCUGCAAUCGGAGAGAUUGAGGUCAGCAGCGUAGACUCUUCGGGGUUAGAUACACUUGUGCUAAGCUAUAGCCUUGUAUAGACAACUUGUUGACUAUGCUCAGUCAUGUAGCUUACUCGCUUGCAGUAUUUUACCUAC